rnacentral:rRNA from 1 species
GCGGACGGGUGAGUAACACGUGGAUAACCUACCUAUAAGACUGGGAUAACUUCGGGAAACCGGAGCUAAUACCGGAUAAUAUUUUGAACCGCAUGGUUCAAAAGUGAAAGACGGUCUUGCUGUCACUUAUAGAUGGAUCCGCGCUGCAUUAGCUAGUUGGUAAGGUAACGGCUUACCAAGGCAACGAUGCAUAGCCGACCUGAGAGGGUGAUCGGCCACACUGGAACUGAGACACGGUCCAGACUCCUACGGGAGGCAGCAGUAGGGAAUCUUCCGCAAUGGGCGAAAGCCUGACGGAGCAACGCCGCGUGAGUGAUGAAGGUCUUCGGAUCGUAAAACUCUGUUAUUAGGGAAGAACAUAUGUGUAAGUAACUGUGCACAUCUUGACGGUACCUAAUCAGAAAGCCACGGCUAACUACGUGCCAGCAGCCGCGGUAAUACGUAGGUGGCAAGCGUUAUCCGGAAUUAUUGGGCGUAAAGCGCGCGUAGGCGGUUUUUUAAGUCUGAUGUGAAAGCCCACGGCUCAACCGUGGAGGGUCAUUGGAAACUGGAAAACUUGAGUGCAGAAGAGGAAAGUGGAAUUCCAUGUGUAGCGGUGAAAUGCGCAGAGAUAUGGAGGAACACCAGUGGCGAAGGCGACUUUCUGGUCUGUAACUGACGCUGAUGUGCGAAAGCGUGGGGAUCAAACAGGAUUAGAUACCCUGGUAGUCCACGCCGUAAACGAUGAGUGCUAAGUGUUAGGGGGUUUCCGCCCCUUAGUGCUGCAGCUAACGCAUUAAGCACUCCGCCUGGGGAGUACGACCGCAAGGUUGAAACUCAAAGGAAUUGACGGGGACCCGCACAAGCGGUGGAGCAUGUGGUUUAAUUCGAAGCAACGCGAAGAACCUUACCAAAUCUUGACAUCCUUUGACAACUCUAGAGAUAGAGCUUUCCCCUUCGGGGGACAAAGUGACAGGUGGUGCAUGGUUGUCGUCAGCUCGUGUCGUGAGAUGUUGGGUUAAGUCCCGCAACGAGCGCAACCCUUAAGCUUAGUUGCCAUCAUUAAGUUGGGCACUCUAAGUUGACUGCCGGUGACAAACCGGAGGAAGGUGGGGAUGACGUCAAAUCAUCAUGCCCCUUAUGAUUUGGGCUACACACGUGCUACAAUGGACAAUACAAAGGGCAGCGAAACCGCGAGGUCAAGCAAAUCCCAUAAAGUUGUUCUCAGUUCGGAUUGUAGUCUGCAACUCGACUACAUGAAGCUGGAAUCGCUAGUAAUCGUAGAUCAGCAUGCUACGGUGAAUACGUUCCCGGGUCUUGUACACACCGCCCGUCACACCACGAGAGUUUGUAACACCCGAAGCCGGUGGAGUAACCUUUUAGGAGCUAGCCGUCGAAGGUGGGACAAAUGAUUGGGGUGAAGUCGUAACAAGGUAGCCGUAUCGGAAGGUGCGGCUGGAUCACCUCCUUU